rnacentral:rRNA from 1 species
GAUGAACGCUAGCGGCAGGCCUAAUACAUGCAAGUCGAGGGGUAACAGGGUUAGCAAUAACUGCUGACGACCGGCGCACGGGUGCGUAACACGUAUACAAUCUGCCCAUAUCAGGGGGAUAGCCCGGAGAAAUCCGGAUUAAUACCCCAUAAUAGUAGAAGAGGCAUCUUUUUUACUUGAAAGCUACGGCGGAUAUGGAUGAGUAUGCGACUGAUUAGUUAGUUGGCGAGGUAAAGGCUCACCAAGACCACGAUCAGUAGGGGAUCUGAG